CAGCAGCCACGGUAAUACGAAGGGGGCUAGCGUUGUUCGGAAUUACUGGGCGUAAAGGGCGCGUAGGCGGCCAUUCAAGUUAGAUGUGAAAGCCCUGGGCUCAACCUAGGAAUUGCAUUUGAUACUGUUUGGCUUGAGUUCGGGAGAGGUGAGUGGAAUUCCCAGUGUAGAGGUGAAAUUCGUAGAUAUUGGGAAGAACACCGGUGGCGAAGGCGGCAACCUGGUUCAUGAUUGACGCUGAGGCACGAAAGCGUGGGGAGCAAACAGGAUUAGAUACCCGCGUAGUCCCUGUCUCUUAUAC
rnacentral:rRNA from 1 species